GGGAGGGGGGGGGGAGACUUUGUAUAUAGUAUCAUAAAAAUAUCGUAACGAAACCAAAUCUAUGUUGUUGUGUUUUAAAAGGAACGAUAGGGCUUUUUCCAAAUCAAAGAAGAAAAUUACGAUCGCAAGUUUGAAGUCGUCAUGAUAUUAAUUGUCAUUGAAGAAUUUAAAUAGAAAUCUAUGAAGUGACAAGAAAGAGAAAAAUAGAAAGCUAAGAAAGAGACAACGAAAAGUAGGUUAAGAAGAGUGUUGACCAGAGGGACUGUGGAUUUACCAACAAGUGGGACAAACUUUCUCUUGCCUCCAAAACUGACACAACAGUAUCUUAACUCGUUCUCUCAUCACGAAUCACAUUCAUAUGACACUCACUCA
rnacentral:lncRNA from 1 species